CAUGCAUCUAGCUAACCAGUACAGAGAAACACUAUGUUGGCUCAUAAUCAAGACACAGGAAAUUCAGAACUCAACUUGUACUCAGCUGGUGACCUUAGGUAUGUAAGUGGGAAGAGGAGAAGAAUCAAACCAGUGUUCUUGUAAAAGCUCAACUUCUAAUCAGCUCUGGGUUCCUGGC
rnacentral:lncRNA from 1 species